rnacentral:rRNA from 1 species
GAUGAACGCUAGCGGGAGGCCUAAUACAUGCAAGUCGAACGGGUGAAUUAGCUUCGGUUGGUUCACUAGUGGCGCACGGGUGAGUAACGCGUACGCAAUCUGCCCUAUGCUGGGGAAUAGCCCUGGGAAACUGGGAGUAAUACGCCAUAGUUCUACGGAUCUGCAUGGAUUUGUAGAUAAAGCUGCGGCGGCAUAGGAUGAGCGUGCGUCUGAUUAGGUAGUUGGUGAGGUAACGGCUCACCAAGCCGACGAUCAGUAAGGGGCGUGAGAGCGUGGCCCCUCACACGGGUACUGAGACACGGACCCGACUCCUACGGGAGGCAGCAGUAAGGAAUAUUGGACAAUGGGCGCAAGCCUGAUCCAGCCAUCCCGCGUGCUUGAUGAAGGCCCUCUGGGUUGUAAAGAGCUUUAGUCUGGGAAGAAACCGUUUUCUGCGGAAGACGCUGACGGUACCAGAAGAAUAAGCACCGGCUAACUCCGUGCCAGCA